rnacentral:lncRNA from 1 species
CACAGUAUACCUGAUGCCCUCCCUCCUGACCUGUGAUUGGGAUUGAGCUGAAGAUAGUCACUGACGUGAUUCAAAGGAUUAGCACUUGGUACAGGUUCCCUCUGUGUGCCGGGCAGUAUGCCAGUUAAUUCAAGUGCAUGUCAGACCCAGAGGGUGACAUCCUGUGACUCAGAUGCUGGGGCCCUCAUGAUGCCUGGUAAGGAUGAACCGUUGUCCACAUUCUCUUCUCUGAGUCAAAGAGGAGGAAGAUCUGUCCAUCGAAACUGAACUGCCAAGAUCCGCUGCUGUGUCCUUCGGCUUUCUGCUCACAAGACAUCCUUGCCUGCAGGGUGAGGGGUUCUGCCCCCAUCAGAGAGAGAUCAGCUCUGGCCUUGACAGAUAUUGAGCCCCCAUCCUCUUCCACUUGCAAUUUCCUGGUCUUACUUGCUCUGCCACAUCCUGGCCUUGCCUCUAGACGUCUUGCGGGGUUGCCAUUGCCUGCUGUUGCUCUACAAAGGGACAGGACUGGACACUGAGACGGAGAACCCACGGCCUGCAAAGAUCACAGGGCAUCCUUCCUCCCUUUCUAGAAAGGGUUUGCUGACCCCUGUCUACACACUGACUAUUCUCUAUGACGCUGGCGCCCCAGUAGGAACAACAGGCAGGUCUGGGCCCCAAGGGCAGAAGUGGGUGCCUCUACUCACCAGAGUUCCCAGGGUCAUCCUGGAGGAAAUGGUGCUUCCCAUGCCCCCUGCACAGGUUCUGUGGGGAGCUUGGGGUGUGUUUGCUGGGGUGUGUCCUCAGGCAAGAGGCAGAAGGUGUCACGUGGUGUAAGAGGUCGCGAGGGCCCCUUCAUGGAUGGGGAGACCUCUGGGGUGACCAGCUGGGCUGAGGUGGGGAGUAAGAGGAUGUUACCUGGGUGGUGGCAGUGGAUGGUGAGGGGAGGGUGGGAAGUGUCUGCUGAGCCGCUGGGUGCAGGUGAGUGUCUACAGGAAAGUGCAGGGAAAAAUUAAAGGGCACGCAGCCCUGGGGGUGCUGGAGGGUUUGUGUGGUUGAGAGCGGGUGAGAACAGAGCAGGCUGGUGGCUGGUGGGAGUGUCUGUGAUUGUGUCCCUGUGCAACCCCACUUCACCCCUGUCCUGACCCCAGCUCGGGUUCUGGGGGCUCUGGUUUCUCCUUCCCGAGGGCGGGUGGGACUGCCGGGCUGCACUAGGGAUCCCCGCUCCACGUCGCCCUCUGCAGCCCUCUGGCCCCUCCACUCUCUGGGGGUUCCUUUCCAGCCUCCUCUCUGACCAGCUCCUCCCCUCGGAGGAUAAGUAGCCUCCGGGAGCGGAUCCGGCGGGAAGGAGACGCGGAGGGAAACUGAGCGGGGGCGCAGUCCGGGGUGAUCGCACGGGUCCUUCCAGAAGCCUCCCCUCCUCUGAAGCCCGCAGUCCACAGCCCCCCACGGUUGGCCUCCGCCCCGCUUAGGCUCCAUCCCCGAACUCACCGGCCAGCCCGGUCCUGCACCAGCUGGACAGCAGGAGCAGAAGCGGGAGGCGUAGAAGGAACGCGGGGCUGGCGGCCGCUGCCAUUGGGGAGUUGGAUCGCAGGGGACAGCAGAAGCGAAGCCCAGCCCGUGGAUCACCUGGCGGCUCGCAGGCUGUCUGAAUGCAGCCCUAACCUACACGCUCGCGCACUUCCCCCUGCUUCAGCCAGUCAGACUUUGCUGGCUGCCUGCCCGGGACCAGUCCUGCCAAAGGCUUCUUUCCAUGACCCCCUCAUGUAAUCAUCACCGCAAUUUUUUCAUUUUGUAUUAAUCCAAUGUGGAUACCGAUGCACAGAAAGGUGAAGAAAAUGCACAGAAGUGUUCAGCCGCGACAGGGUCUCCCUGUCCUCGCCUGUACCUGCGACACCCGCCUUCCCUCUCCCUGCGUUGCAGAGUGUCCCCCACCCACCGUCCUGUGCGCAGACCCAAGCCCAGUCCCAUCCCCGCGGCCUCAUCCCAAAUCCCGAGUGGACGUGGUUAUAGCCUGGGCUAGGUUUGUUUGUUUGGUUGGUUGGUUUUUCUUUCUUUUCUUUUUUUUCUUCGUGACAGAGUCUCGCUCUGCCGCCCAGGCUGGAGUGCAGCGGCGCGAUCUGGGUUCGCUGCAACCUCUGCCUCGCGAAUUCAAACGAUUCUCUUGCUUCAGCCUCCCAAGUAGCUGGGACCACAGGUGCGCACCACCAAGCCCGGUUAAGUUUUGUAUUUUAGUGGAGACGGGGUUUCACCAUGUUGCCCAGGCUGGCUUUGGACUCCUGGGCUCAAGUGAUCAGCCCGACAC